rnacentral:lncRNA from 1 species
UUUCAGAAGCUUUCCCUGUCUCCCUCUGCUCACUGCCCUCUCCAUCCAAGCAGAAAGAACCUGCCUGUCUUCUGUGAUCUGCUGCCAUUGCACACACCCCUGUGACGUUCUCCUAUUGCCUCAUUAGAUGUUUACACCUGUGCCUCCCCCAGAAUCCCAGUCCUCUCUCUCUCACUGACCCCGAAGAUAAGCAUUGGAAAGGGGAGCUUUGGGGAAAUGAAUCUGCCCUGUCAUCUGCGUAUAGAGCUAAUCUUAAAUCCCAACUGCCAAAUGGAUCCUGAGGUGUCAGAAACUCUCCCGAGAUAAGGGGGCUUCUAGCAACCAUCUGCAUUCUGGACCCAGAUGAGAAAACCAGGGGAAGCAGAGGUAAGAACCUGUUCAAGAAGGCACAUCUCAGAUGUGGAAGAACCAUGAUUCAACUCGAGUCUGUCUGCUUCCCAAGACUGUGGUAUUUAAACAGCUUAUAAUGAAAAUUCCUUCUAUAGCUCCCCAUAAAAGGGCACACAGUUCUUUCUUAACGUAUUAUUUCAGGCAUUCAUUCACCAUUGAUGUAUUUGUGAAGGUGUUCUCUCUAAAUAAACUAUUGGGACCUUACUUGACUGUGA